rnacentral:rRNA from 1 species
UACGGAGGGUGCUAGCGUUGUUCGGAAAUACUGGGCGUAAAGCGCACGUAGGCGGCGCAGCAAGUCAGGGGUGAAAUCCCGGGGCUCAACCUCGGAACUGCCCUUGAAACUGCAGUGCUAGAAUCUUGGAGAGGCGAGUGGAAUUCCGAGUGUAGAGGUGAAAUUCGUAGAUAUUCGGAAGAACACCAGUGGCGAAGGCGACUCGCUGGACAAGUAUUGACGCUGAGGUGCGAAAGCGUGGGGAGCAAACAGG